rnacentral:sRNA from 1 species
GCUGGGUUGGUAGUAUAUACCUGUAGUCCCAGCUAUUCUGGAGGCUGAGGCAGGAAUAUCACUUGAGCCCAGGAGUUUGAGGCUAGCCUGGGCAGCAAAGGGAGAUCUCAU